GACGAACGCUGGCGGCGUGCUUAACACAUGCAAGUCGAACGGAAAGGCCCUGCUUUUGUGGGGUGCUCGAGUGGCGAACGGGUGAGUAACACGUGAGUAACCUGCCCUUGACUUUGGGAUAACUUCAGGAAACUGGGGCUAAUACCGGAUAGGAGCUCCUGCUGCAUGGUGGGGGUUGGAAAGUUUCGGCGGUUGGGGAUGGACUCGCGGCUUAUCAGCUUGUUGGUGGGGUAGUGGCUUACCAAGGCCUUGCCGGGUAGCCGGGCUGGGAGGGUGACAGGCCAAGUCGCGCUUGGACUGCGGCCCGGACUACACCCGGAGGCGACGGUGGAGAGUGGUACACUGUGGGAGGAGGGAUGGUGUAGCACCGCCACGUGCGGGGUGUGGGCAAGCGGGUAGUAUUGCAAAUUUGUCUGUGCCGAGGCGAGAGUGACGGUACUGGGAGAAGAAGCACCGGCUAACUACGUG
rnacentral:rRNA from 1 species